GUUAAGCAAGAUAGAUAAAGCCCUUUUGAAGGUAGGAUAAACAUUUGGAUGACCUUAAUAUUAGAUUAUUUUAUGUUGCUGAAGUAAACAUAAUGGGGGAUUUUUUGCGCGGAGACUGAGCAAAUUGCAAUGAACAAACUUGUUGAGAUGGCAAAUAAAAAGCGAAUGAUAGUACAAAGAGGGGUCAUUCAGCAGCCCACAUCGAAUAUGUACAGUUAAGAUGGAUCCGCAGCUGGAGAUACAAGGAAAUAGCCGGUGUUAAAGUGCUUCGGCUCAGAAUUGUAGAUGCAAUUAGGUAUACAAUUUCCUAGUUACAGAUUAUGUUAACAUUGUAUCAAUUUACUGCUGCCACGUAGAACAUUGUAUGUCUAAUUUUGUCGUCUUUAUCAUCUCAGUAAGUAAGUUGUGAAACUUGUAAACAUUUCUAUCUUCUACUGUGAUACUUUUAAGUCAA